rnacentral:rRNA from 1 species
AGCGAACGCUGGCGGCAGGCCUAACACAUGCAAGUCGAACGAACUCUUCGGAGUUAGUGGCGGACGGGUGAGUAACACGUGGGAACGUGCCUUUAGGUUCGGAAUAACUCAGGGAAACUUGUGCUAAUACCGAAUGAGCCCUUCGGGGGAAAGAUUUAUCGCCUUUAGAGCGGCCCGCGUCUGAUUAGCUAGUUGGUGAGGUAAAGGCUCACCAAGGCGACGAUCAGUAGCUGGUCUGAGAGGAUGAUCAGCCACAUUGGGACUGAGACACGGCCCAAACCCCUACGGGAGGCAGCAGUGGGGAAUCUUGCGCAAUGGGCGAAAGCCUGACGCAGCCAUGCCGCGUGAAUGAUGAAGGUCUUAGGAUUGGAAAAUUCUUUCACCGGGGACGAUAAUGACGGUACCCGGAGAAGAAGCCCCGGCUAACUUCGUG